GCCACAUGAUGAUCAAUACUUGACAUUAACACUCUGUGUAAAGAUGACAUUCAUCUAUCACCCAAGACUGAUGGCA
ensembl:snoRNA SNORD83 Small nucleolar RNA SNORD83